CCAUUCCCUGUGUGUCUACUCUGCCGAAAACGUCGACCUCCUCUCGAACUCGCCCGAUCGCCAAUGCCUUGUCGCGAGACAAGUCUUCAACUUCCUCUGCAUCUCAUCGAAGGUCUCACCGGUGAUGUCAUCCUUCGAAACACUGCUUUGCGCAGGGAAUCUUCGGUCGGGUGAGGAGAUCUGAGUUCUGUGGAUGCUGGAGUGGUAUUGCAUGUUCCAGAGCUCGAUAGUGGCGAGGAUUUGUGCUCCAGACAGCUAUCUCAUCUUCCCGAGCCUAGGGCAGAGCUGAUCUCGUCGGGUUUCCCUUCGCCGAUUGUGAGGGAUUCCAUCAUCAAGGUAGGUGCAGAAUCGACCAAGACCUCCAGCAGUAAACCUCGCCGGUGGGGGUUCUCAGUAGGUGUUUUCCGCCUUAGAAAUUAUUAGCCUUGUAGGGGCUCUGAUUGUGGAUCUGUGGCAGCGGCCAUCACCACAGUGCUUGGGCCGGCAGUAGCACCUCCUAGCAGUGGGUCGACAGAGGUGAGUUAUGGUAGGAUCAAGCUUUGAUGGCCACAGUGCUUGGGCCGGCAGUAGCACCUCCUAGCAGUGGGUCGACAGAGGACUUUGAUCGAGGCGGGUGUCGUGAUAAAGGUGACAUCGGAUUAAGACUACAUUUAAAGACGGAUAAAGGCAAGGAAUGGAUGAAUUAAGGGGAGCAGCAGGAAGGACAAUGAUGAUGUGUGUGGA